CCUWCGGGGGGGGGCGYGCAGUAGGGAAUCUUCCGCAAUGGGCGAAAGCCUGACGGAGCAAUGCCGCGUGAGUGAUGAAGGUUUUCGGAUCGUAAAGCUCUGUUGCCAGGGAAGAACGCUUGGGAGAGUAACUGCUCUCAAGGUGACGGUACCUGAGAAGAAAGCCCCGGCUAACUACGUGCCAGCAGCCGCGGUAAUACGUAGGGGGCAAGCGUUGUCCGGAAUUAUUGGGCGUAAAGCGCGCGCAGGCGGUCAUUUAAGUCUGGUGUUUAAUCCCGGGGCUCAACCCCGGAUCGCACUGGAAACUGGGUGACUUGAGUGCAGAAGAGGAGAGUGGAAUUCCACGUGUAGCGGUGAAAUGCGUAGAUAUGUGGAGGAACACCAGUGGCGAAGGCGACUCUCUGGGCUGUAACUGACGCUGAGGCGCGAAAGCGUGGGGAGCAAACAGGAUUAGAUACCCCC
rnacentral:rRNA from 1 species